rnacentral:rRNA from 1 species
AACCUACGGGAGGCAGCAGUCGGGAAUAUUGCGCAAUGGAGGAAACUCUGACGCAGUGACGCCGCGUAUAGGAAGAAGGUUUUCGGAUUGUAAACUAUUGUCGUUAGGGAAGAUACAAGACAGUACCUAAGGAGGAAGCCCCGGCUAACUAUGUGCCAGCAGCCGCGGUAAUACAUAGGGGGCAAGCGUUAUCCGGAUUUAUUGGGUGUAAAGGGUGCGUAGACGGAGAAACAAGUUGGUUGUGAAAUCCGCAGGCUCAACCUGCGAACUGCAUUUGAAACUGUUUCCCUUGAGUAUCGGAGAGG